rnacentral:rRNA from 1 species
AGCUUGCUUUGCUAAGUCUAGUGGCGAACGGGUGAGUAACACGUGAGCAACCUGCCCAGAAGCAGGGGAUAAGCCACCGAAAGGUGGUCUAAUACCGUAUGUGAUUUCAAGAGGCAUCUCUUGAUGAUUAAAGGGGGGGACCUUCGGGCCUCCCACUUCUGGAUGGGCUCGCGGCCUAUCAGCUAGUUGGUGAAGUAAUAGCUCACCAAGGCAACGACGGGUAACUGGUCUGAGAGGAUGAUCAGUCACACUGGAACUGAGACACGGUCCAGACACCUACGGGUGGCAGCAGUCGAGAAUCAUUCACAAUGGGCGAAAGCCUGAUGGUGCGACGCCGCGUGGAGGAUGACAGCCCUAGGGUUGUAAACUCCUGUCAUGAGAGAGUAAAGACUUAACGUUAAUAGUGUUGGGUCCUGAUAGUAUCUCAAGAGGAAGGGACGGCUAACUUCGUGCCAGCAGCCGCGGUAAUACGAAGGUCCCAAGCGUUGUUCGGAAUUACUGGGCGUAAAGCGUGCGUAGGCGGAAUGGUAAGUCAGAUGUGAAAUCCCGGGGCUCAACCCCGGAACUGCAUCCGAUACUGCCAAUCUAGAGUAGUGGAGGGGAGUCUGGAAUUCACGGUGUAGCAGUGAAAUGCGUAGAUAUCGCGAGGAACACUAGUGGCGAAGGCGAGACACUGGACACUAACUGACGCUGAGGCACGAAGGCUAGGGUAGCGAAAGGGAUUAGAUACCCCUGUAGUCCUAGCAGUAAACGGUGUGCGUUUGGUGUGGGCGGGUUCGACCCCGUCCGUGCCGAAGCUAACGCGUUAAA